AAUUGUCUGCUGGACAUUCCUCCCUGAUACAUCUCACAGGUAACCCGCUCCAAAGUCAAUUUUAGGGCCCUCCUCCCCACUGCGUCCGUCCUCCUGCUCUCCUGGCCUCUGGAAUGGUCCCCGCCCAGCCAGUUUCUGACACCAGACGCUGUCCUGGGCCUCGCCCCGCCUUCCCACCCCCACCCAAACGCGCGUACUCUCGGCCUGGCCUGCGUAAGCCCGGCCCGCACCCGCCCUGCCGGGCUCCUGCUCCAUUGCUGCCCCAGCCCACGUCCCUCACGGCUAGACCCUGAGUCUGUCACCCGUUGGCAGCGCCCAGAAUGGGCCAAGCACCCUCCCCGCCCCUCUCCAGGGUGCUGCUGGCCUCGCUUCCGCGGCCCCUCCCGCGAGGCCUACCCCCACCCCCACCCCGCGGCGCCCCUUGGUUCUCCUUCCUGGCCCCUGGCCCCCACUUUACAUCCUGAUUUGUAACCCCGCAGUGACUAACAUAGCUCCCACCUCCUGGCCUGUUCACGGGGGUCCCCAGGGGUGCGCGGACCGUGCGGGGGUCCCCGCGGCCAACCCAGCGCCAGAAGCGCAGGGAGCACGUGGCAAACGGUGGGGGGAACAAUCAAGACGGACCCAAAGCGGUUGCAGCAGAGAGGGAGGCAUCCAAUCCCGUCCACCAGCCCCCAAAGGCCGUCGUCCUGCCUGGAGAACCUAGCAGUGCUAGGAAACUGACUUUUCUCAAAAAUGAACUCUCCCUACCAAUCUGCACCAUGAAAUUAUUUCAGCAAACAAAAAAUAAUGGUUGCCCAUCACCGCACACUGCGUGUGACUCAGCCAUCACUCACAGGCAAAGAAGGGUGUUCUCUCCUCUCCCUGUCAGUUACUAAUUCUCUGUAAAUGACCAUUUGACAUCCUGGCCGGGGAGGAUUCAGAUCAGAGAUGACUUCCCCACUGCCACAAAGUAUGGUUCUGGGAAGGACAACCAGCCCCAAGGCCACGAAGAUUCUGAAAAAGUUUCUUCUCAUUUGAAGUCCA
rnacentral:lncRNA from 1 species